rnacentral:rRNA from 1 species
UGGCGGCACUAGCGCGGUGGUCCCACCUGACCCCAUGCCGAACUCAGAAGUGAAACGCCGUAGCGCCGAUGGUAGUGUGGGGUCUCCCCAUGUGAGAGUAGGAAACUGCCA